rnacentral:lncRNA from 1 species
AAACUCCAAACCUCAAACGGUCCCAAACUUUGAAUUUAAACCCAUCUACACCGUUCAAACCAAUCAUUCUCCACGGUUAGAUCACAGAAUCUUCUUCUCUCUCAUCCACUCAACCCCAAUUUUCUUUCUUCUUCAUCAUUCCCAAAUCCACCACACUUCAAAUUUCAUUUCCCUCUUCAUUCAUUUCACUUCAAAUCCAACUCCAAACUCCAUUUCCACAAAUCUUCCAUCGAAAUCGCUCCGUUCACCGCACAAUGCCGUUUCUAUCAGAGGCUGCAAGUGCAAUCAAAAGCAGAUUCGGUUUCCAGAAUCAUCCAUCCGAACAACUUUCGCUGAUUCAGAACACUCCAGAUCUUCUCAAAUCAGCGGUUAAGGAUAAUCUAAU